UACAGAGGGGGCAAGCGUUGUUCGGAAUUACUGGGCGUAAAGGGCGCGUAGGCGGCGUGACAAGUCACUUGUGAAAUCUCUGAGCUUAACUCAGAACGGCCAAGUGAAACUGUUGUGCUAGAGUGCAGAAGGGGCAAUCGGAAUUCUUGGUGUAGCGGUGAAAUGCGUAGAUAUCAAGAGGAACACCUGAGGUGAAGACGGGUUGCUGGGCUGACACUGACGCUGAGGCGCGAAAGCCAGGGGAGCAAACGGG
rnacentral:rRNA from 1 species